GAUGAACGCUGGCGGCGCGCUUAACACAUGCAAGUCGAACGGGAAAUAUUUCAUUGAGACUUCGGUGGAUUUGAUUUAUUUCUAGUGGCGGACGGGUGAGUAACGCGUGGGUAACCUGCCUUAUACAGGGGGAUAACAGUCAGAAAUGGCUGCUAAUACCGCAUAAGCGCACAGAGCUGCAUGGCUCCGUGCGAAAAGCUCCGGUGGUAUAAGAUGGACCCGCGUUGGAUUAGCUUGUUGGUGAGGUAACGGCCCACCAAGGCGACGAUCCAUAGCCGGCCUGAGAGGGUGAACGGCCACAUUGGGACUGAGACACGGCCCAGACUCCUACGGGAGGCAGCAGUGGGGAAUAUUGCACAAUGGGGGAAACCCUGAUGCAGCGACGCCGCGUGAAGGAAGAAGUAUCUCGGUAUGUAAACUUCUAUCAGCAGGGAAGAUAGUGACGGUACCUGACUAAGAAGCCCCGGCUAACUACGUGCCAGCAGCCGCGGUAA
rnacentral:rRNA from 1 species